UACGGAGGGUGCAAGCGUUGUUCGGAAUUAUUGGGCGUAAAGAGCGUGUAGGCGGUUCGGUAAGUCAGAUGUGAAAGCCCUGGGCUCAACCCAGGAAGUGCAUUUGAAACUACCAGACUUGAGUACGGGAGAGGAGGGGGGAAUUCCCGGUGUAGAGGUGAAAUUCGUAGAUAUCGGGAGGAAUACCAGUGGCGAAGGCGCCCCUCUGGACCGAUACUGACGCUGAGACGCGAAAGCGUGGGGAGCAAACAGG
rnacentral:rRNA from 1 species